rnacentral:pre_miRNA from 1 species
AAUAAGUUCAUUUAUAUGUUUAUGUGUGCAAUGUUUGACCGUAUGUCUUAUUUGCUCUUUUUAUGAAUUACUAGUAUUUUUAUUGUUAUUAGAUGAUAAGAUAUAAAUAGUACUUUAUGCAUGACUUGUUUUUUAAAAAUUUUCAGAUAAGACGGACGGUCAAAAGUUAGAUAUAGAAACCUACCAAUAAACUUAUU